rnacentral:rRNA from 1 species
GGCUCCUCGGUAAAAUUAUAUGGGGGGUCGAACCUGCCCGGUGACUAGAUGUUAAACGGCCGCGGUACCCUAACCGUGCAAAGGUAGCAUAAUCAUUUGCCUUUUAAUUGAAGGCUGGAAUGAAUGGUUUGACGAGAACUAAGCUGUCUCUUUUAGAUUAGAUAUAAAUUAACUUUUAGGUGAAGAGGCCUAAAUUUACUUGAGGGACAAGAAGACCCUGUUGAGCUUUAGUGAAUUUGUGAAAAAGAAAGUAAUGUAUAGUUUAUAGCAUUUUUUUACAGUUAAUCUUUAGUUGGGGCGACUGAGGGACAUAAGAAGCUCCCUUUAAAUAGCACUAAGUGUGUGAGAGCAGGUUAAAUAAUAAUUUAAACAUAAUAGAAUUGAUCCAAAAUUUAUUGAUUAAAGGAAAAAGUUACCACAGGGAUAACAGCGUAAUCUCUCUGGAAAGAUCUAAUUGAAAGGGGGGUUUGCGACCUCGAUGUUGGACUAAGAUAUCCUAAGGGUGCANANGUUCUUUGGGGUUGGUCUGUUC